rnacentral:rRNA from 1 species
GGUUAAGUGAAUAAGGGCGCACGGUGGAUGCCUUGGCACUAGGAGCCGAUGAAGGACGGGACUAACACCGAUAUGCUUUGGGGAGCUGUACGUAAGCUAUGAUCCAGAGAUUUCCGAAUGGGGGAACCCAGCAUCUUUAAUAGGAUGUUACGAUUGUGUGAAUACAUAGCACAUUCGAGGUAGACGCAGAGAACUGAAACAUCUAAGUACCUGCAGGAAGAGAAAGAAAAUUCGAUUCCCUGAGUAGCGGCGAGCGAAACGGGAAAAGCCCAAACCAGCAAGCUUGCUUGUUGGGGUUGUAGGACUCCGAUAUGGUAGUUCUUUCAGAUAGUUGAAUGACUUGGAAAAGUCAGUCAAAGAGGGUAAAAACCCCGUAGACGAAAUGUGGAAGACACCUAGGAGGAUCCUGAGUACGGCGGAACACGAGAAAUUCCGUCGGAAUCCGGGAGGACCAUCUCCCAAGGCUAAAUACUCCCUAGUGACCGAUAGUGAACCAGUACCGUGAGGGAAAGGUGAAAAGCACCCCGGAAGGGGAGUGAAAUAGAACCUGAAACCGUGUGCCUACAACAAGUCAAAGCCCGUUAAUGGGUGAUGGCGUGCCUUUUGUAGAAUGAACCGGCGAGUUACGAUUGCAUGCGAGGUUAAGUUGAAGAGACGGAGCCGCAGCGAAAGCGAGUCUGAAUAGGGCGUUUGAGUAUGUAGUCGUAGACCCGAAACCAUGUGAUCUACCCAUGUCCAGGUUGAAGGUGCGGUAAAACGCACUGGAGGACCGAACCCACGUACGUUGAAAAGUGCGGGGAUGAGGUGUGGGUAGCGGAGAAAUUCCAAACGAACUUGGAGAUAGCUGGUUCUCUCCGAAAUAGCUUUAGGGCUAGCCUCGGAAUUGAGAAUGAUGGAGGUAGAGCACUGUUUGGACUAGGGGCCCAUCUCGGGUUACCGAAUUCAGAUAAACUCCGAAUGCCAUUCAUUCAUAUCCGGGAGUCAGACUGUGAGUGAUAAGAUCCAUAGUCGAAAGGGAAACAGCCCAGACCACCAGCUAAGGUCCCAAAAUAUAUGUUAAGUGGAAAAGGAUGUGGGGUUGCACAGACAACUAGGAUGUUGGCUUAGAAGCAGCCACCAUUUAAAGAGUGCGUAAUAGCUCACUAGUCGAGUGACCCUGCGCCGAAAAUGUACCGGGGCUAAAC